rnacentral:tRNA from 1 species
UGAAAUUAUCGCAGGUUUUCUACGUGAAGCGGGGCUAUUGGCUUUGCUGGGUAGCCUUGUUGGUGCGCUGGCCAGUGGUGCUAUCUCACUGCUUUUAA